rnacentral:rRNA from 1 species
CAGCCGCUGCGGUAAUACAGAGGGUGCGAGCGUUAAUCGGAUUUACUGGGCGUAAAGCGUGCGUAGGCGGCUAAUUGAGUCGGAUGUGAAAUCCCCGAGCUUAACUUGGGAAUUGCAUUCGAUACUGGUUAGCUAGAGUGUGGGAGAGGAUGGUAGAAUUCCAGGUGUAGCGGUGAAAUGCGUAGAGAUCUGGAGGAAUACCGAUGGCGAAGGCAGCCAUCUGGCCUAACACUGACGCUGAGGUACGAAAGCAUGGGGAGCAAACAGGAUUAGAUACCCCAGUAGUCCCUGUCUCUUAUAA